AAGGAGAACCGGCACAGGCGGUACAUGUACUAC
rnacentral:ribozyme from 1 species